UACGGAGGAUCCAAGCGUUAUCCGGAAUCAUUGGGUUUAAAGGGUCCGUAGGCGGGCAGCUAAGUCAGUGGUGAAAGUCUGCAGCUCAACUGUAGAAUUGCCAUUGAAACUGGGUGUCUUGAAUUGGUGUGAAGUGGUUAGAAUAAGUAGUGUAGCGGUGAAAUGCAUAGAUAUUACUUAGAAUACCAAUUGCGAAGGCAGAUCACUAACACUAUAUUGACGCUGAUGGACGAAAGCGUGGGGAGCGAACAGG
rnacentral:rRNA from 1 species